AUCUCAAUAACAAUUACCUCAAUUAAUAGCAUCUGAUAGUGGUCGGACUUACAGUAUUCGAGAGAAGGCAAUCCCGAAAACAUGGCUAACGAAAUCAAAGAGAAAUCAAAAGUGAGCCUAACCCUCAACAUACAUCCCGAAAAAAACGAAGAAACGGACGCCCCCGAAGACAAAUUUUACAUAGUUUACACGCUAUUUUUCCUUAUGGGUUUGGUUCACCUUUUGCCAUGGAGUUUCUUCAAUACUGCCAAUGGAUACUGGAUGUACAAAUUUAGAAAUACAACCACCAAUGAUACUGAUUCUAAAUUUAGAACAACUUUGCAAGCCGAGUUUAACGCGUCGAUCAUGAUAACACUUCAAGUUUCACAAGUGGCAUUUCUGAUUAUUGGAUUACUUUAUGGCAGAUUUAUUUCCGUUCGAGUCAGAUUUAUCGGAAUCCUGUCCAUUAUCCUAUUUCUUUUUGUUGCUCUAACAGCAUUCGUGAAGAUUGACACUGAUUCUUGGCAAGAAGGAUUCUUUGCAAUGGUGAUGAUAAUCACGUUUGGCAUCAACUCCAUGAAUUCAGUCUUCACCAUCACGCUAUAUACAGCAAUAUCCAAUUUCCCUCAUCAUUAUUUAGCUCCGUAUCUCGCUGGGGGUGGAAUAUCCACCAUCUUCACAGCACUUCUUCAGAUUCUCUCAUUAGCAACAGGUCUUUCAGUCCAAAACAGCGCUUCAGUGUACUUCAUUUUGGGUGUUCUUGUAAUAGCUUUCACCUUAAUAUUCGUCGUAAUCACAACAAGUCGCAAUCAGUUUUAUCUGCACCACAUGAACAAUUAUACAAAAAACCAAGAAGAAAAGCACGUUGGUUUCAAAGAAGGAAUUCGCCUGUUUAAAAAGGUGUGGUCUCCUGUUGCUAUGAUGGGUCUAUUCAUGAUUACGACCAACAUGUCACCUACUACUUUGGUGGCUUCGGAAGGAGAGGGAAAUGGUCUUUGGAAUGAUAAAUAUUUUGUUCCUAUAAUAACUUUUCUGCUUUAUGCUGUAUGUGAUUUAGUUGGACGGACUCUAGCUUUUAGAUUUGCUCCUAAGAAUUUGCCUGGGACUGUAUGGGUACUAAUCGCUUUUGUUAGAAUGGCGGUAAUAAUUCCACUAUUCAUGUUGUGUAAUGCUCAACCCCGACAUCAUUUGCCGGUAGUGUUACCUCAUGAUUAUCAAUACAUUCUUGUUGUGAUAUCGGGGGCUAUUUCUGGUGGGUAUAUAGUCAGUCGGUCUACAUACAACACUGCAAGUUUGGUUAAACCUGAAGAACUAAAAGAUGCCUAUCAUGUACAGAUGCUGCUUAUAGGAGUGGAAACAGUUUGUCCAACGUGGAGAAAAAAUUGCAUGGCUCAUUUUUGUCUACAAACAUUUUGACGAUUUAUAGCUUACAAUACGUGUUGGAUCUACUGAAUUUAGGAUUACAAAAAUCUGGAUAUUUCACGUUUUUCCACAGUAGGAACAAUUUUACAUAAAUAAUGUGUUGGUUGCUAACGCACGCCCACUAGAGAUGAAGUAAACCGAUCCAUGCAGGAAGCAUCUUCUGAGCAAUAUCUUGAUAAAGGUUGUUUCUAUGACUGAGACAGCUGGUUGUCGUCAACAGGAUUUAAAUGGUAUGAUGUGCAAGAUACUGGCCCAUGUCUAUUGACUAUAUACUAUUCCUUACACUAAAAUAAAUCAGAAAAGCGUGUUUACUGUUAUCAAUAAAGUUGAAGUCGUUCCGAAGGUACACAGCUAUCUAAAAAUUUGAACACAAAUGCUGUUUAUGGAAUGCAGAAGCGGUAAAUGUAAAUAAUGGUCAUUUUUGAAAAGACAUACUGGAGUCGAAAUAGCUGAAAACUAUAUUGAAGAUUCAUUCCAUCCAAGGAAAAUAGAAAAGUUAGCUUGCGUGAUACAAGAAGCUCAGAACUUUACAGAAACGUAAAAAUGUGUCAACAAGCAUUUUAAAUGUUCAUUAUGGUACUUACUUGGUACUUAAAACACGAUCAAAGAUGGCCAUGGAUUUUUGAAGAUUUGUCUUAUCAGAUUACCGUCAAUUUGAAAGUUUGAGUUGAAAAUGCAACAAUCAAAG